rnacentral:piRNA from 1 species
UUACACGUCUCUGGAGCUCAGCUUUGAAC